UGCUAGUUUUAUAAAAUUUCAAUGGCAUGGUUACGAAUAUACGAAUUAUAAUGGCAUUUAUCUAAAUAUGCACAUUUGCAAUGGCAUGAAUCCAAUUAACCCUAUUUUAUAUGUGUUUUGAAUUUGCUUCAGCAUAUUGACCUGGAUGUGCAUUUGUGUUCCAUUAAGAUGUUAUAUUGUUUGGUGUUCCAUGAAAAGAGGUGGAUAUGCAAACUGAAUGUGCUUGCUCACUAAACCAUGGUAGCUGCAGUAAUUUCUAUAACUUGAUGUAAGGAAGAAAAAGAUAAAAGAUAUAUAUGUUAAACUUUCGAUGGUCCCAUAAUCACUUGAGCCUAUUUAUUUACAUGUUCUUGCCCUCCUCUCCUAAAUCACAAUGUCUGCUUUGUAAGACAUGAGAUCUCACCAUGUUCUCUGCUACUCCAAUGGGUGAUGAUGGUGAUGGCAAGAGCAUAAGAGAAUGCUGCAAAUAAAGCUAGGCUAGGUGAAUUCUAUGCAAUUUAUUCUACUAUGCAUAUCUUGGGAUGGAAGUAAAUUUGUUGGUCUAUUCAGUUCUUCUUUAGAUUAUUGACUAAACCAAAUAACCAACUUGGUGCCGUUUACUUUACAGGAGGUUUUCAUAUUAGUUUUUUUCCCUCUUAUGCUAUUCUGGUCCUUUAGUUAACAGUACAUGGAAAGUAGUUUCUUUUUGUUGCUAUAUUUACAAGUAAUCAUGAGUUUCAUGUAAUAGCAUCAAUAAUAUAACAUAUGAAAAACAAUUAUAAUCACCAUCAUUCUCAGGAUGACACUUAUGACGUGCAUUCAGUUUAUCAUUAUAUUCAGAGCUUCAUCUUCCUUCCUAUGUACAUAUUGGCCUUGAGUGUGGUAAGAAAGAAAUUGAGAUAUGGCUUGUACUUCUACACCUUCAAGUGAGGUACAGAAGUUUUUUACAUAGUAAAGGAAUUUGCACAACACUGUUCUUUGCACGGUAAUUUCCCCCUACUUUAUUUUCAAGCUUAAGAUGUAUUGUUGUUGCCUAUUCAAAUAUUCACCCUCUUGAGAUUAGUUUAUACUUAUAUAACUUUUCUCAUAUUAAAAAAUGCACAUGAUGCUGAUAUACAAUCAAUGACAUUAUACAUGAUGUGAUUUUUUAAUGAUUAAGGCUAGGUCAUGAAUUUGUGGCCGCUUUGAUGUCAUUUUGUACUUUUUAGAGUGAAGUGGUACCUUUAAUUUCGAUUCUCAAAGUAAAGGAUGCUUUUUUAUAUGUACCUUCAGCAUGAUCAAGCAAUCUUUGAGAUGUAACCUUUGAUUCUGAUUUCCGAAGUAUGAAUCGACGUGCUUGGAUUUUUCUGAUAGUUGUGUCACACUUGUAGUUGAGUGAAUUUGCUGGUUGAAUGGACAAAGGAAGAAAGCUCCGACACCAGAGGAGUUGGCUGAGCUGGAAGCGAGGCGUGAACGUGUCAAGCAAAAUAUUGAAUAACGCA